rnacentral:rRNA from 1 species
UACGGAGGAUCCAAGCGUUAUCCGGAAUCAUUGGGUUUAAAGGGUCCGUAGGCGGGCCUGUAAGUCAGUGGUGAAAUCUUUCGGCUCAACCGGAAAAUUGCCAUUGAUACUGCAGGCCUUGAAUUAUUGGGAAGUAACUAGAAUAUGUAGUGUAGCGGUGAAAUGCUUAGAUAUUACAUUGAAUACCGAUUGCGAAGGCAGGUUACUACCAAUACAUUGACGCUGAUGGACGAAAGCGUGGGGAGCGAACAGGAUUAGAUACCCUGGUAGUCCACGCCGUAAACGAUGGAUACUAGCUGUUGGGGGCAACCUCAGUGGCUAAGCGAAAGUGAUAAGUAUCCCACCUGGGGAGUACGAACGCAAGUUUGAA